AGACCCGAAACCCGGUGAUCUAGCCAUGGGCAGGUUGAAGGUUGGGUAACACUAACUGGAGGACCGAACCGACUAAUGUUGAAAAAUUAGCGGAUGACCUGUGGCUGGGGGUGAAAGGCCAAUCAAACCGGGAGAUAGCUGGUUCUCCCCGAAAGCUAUUUAGGUAGCGCCUCGUGAAUUCAUCUCCGGGGGUAGAGCACUGUUUCGGCCAGGGGGCCAUCCCGGCUUACCAAUCCGAUGCAAACUGCGAAUACCGGAGAAUGUUAUCACGGGAGACACACGGCGGGUGCUAACGUCCGUCGUGAAGAGGGAAACAACCCAGACCGCCAGCUAAGGUCCCAAAGUCAUGGUUAAGUGGGAAACGAUGUGGGAAGGCCCAGACAGCCAGGAUGUUGGCUUAGAAGCAGCCAUCAUUUAAAGAAAGCGUAAUAGCUCACUGGUCGAGUCGGCCUGCGCGGAAGAUGUAACGGGGCUAAACCAUGCACCGAAGCUGCGGCAGCGAACGUAUCACCCAAGACAACUUUACACAGUUGACGCCUGACGGAGCGAAGCGACGUCAAAGCGUUUUACAACGUCGAGUUGGCUUAGGGAUACGUUCGUUGGGUAGGGGAGCGUUCUGUAAGCCGUUGAAGGUGUGUCGUGAGGCAUGCUGGAGGUAUCAGAAGUGCGAAUGCUGACAUAAGUAACGAUAAAGCGGGUGAAAAGCCCGCUCGCCGGAAGACCAAGGGUUCCUGUCCAACGUUAAUCGGGGCAGGGUGAGUCGACCCCUAAGGCGAGGCCGAAAGGCGUAGUCGAUGGGAAACGGGUUAAUAUUCCCGUACUUGGUGUUACUGCGAAGGGGGGACGGAGAAGGCUAUGUUGGCCGGGCGACGGUUGUCCC
rnacentral:rRNA from 1 species